rnacentral:rRNA from 1 species
GAUGAACGCUGGCGGCGUGCCUAAUACAUGCGAGUCGAGCGAACAGAUGAGGAGCUUGCUCCUCUGACGUUAGCGGCGGACGGGUGAGUAACACGUGGAUAACCUACCUAUAAGACUGGGAUAACUUCGGGAAACCGGAGCUAAUACCGGAUAAUAUAUUGAACCGCAUGGUUCAAUAGUGAAAGACGGUUUUGCUGUCACUUAUAGAUGGAUCCGCGCCGCAUUAGCUAGUUGGUAAGGUAACGGCUUACCAAGGCAACGAUGCGUAGCCGACCUGAGAGGGUGAUCAGCCACACUGGAACUGAGACACGGUCCAGACUCCUACGGGAGGCAGCAGUAGGGAAUAUUCCGCAAUGGGCGAAAGCCUGACGGAGCAACGCCGCGUGAGUGAUGAAGGUCUUCGGAUCGUAAAGCUCUGUUAUUAGGAAAGAACAAAUGUGUAAGUAACUAUGCACGUCUUGACGGUACCUAAUCAGAAAGCCACGGCUAACUACGUG